GGAUGAACGCUGGCGGCGUGCCUAAUACAUGCAAGUCGAGCGAACAGACGAGGAGCUUGCUCCUCUGACGUUCGCGGCGGACGGGUGAGUAACACGUGGAUAACCUACCUAUAAGACUGGGAUAACUUCGGGAAACCGGAGCUAAUACCGGAUAAUAUAUUGAACCGCAUGGUUCAAUAGUGAAAGACGGUUUUGCUGUCACUUAUAGAUGGAUCCGCGCCGCAUUAGCUAGUUGGUAAGGUAACGGCUUACCAAGGCAACGAUGCGUAGCCGACCUGAGAGGGUGAUCGGCCACACUGGAACUUAGACACGGUCCAGACUCCUACGGGAGGCAGCAGUAGGGAAUCUUCCGCAAUGGGCGAAAGCCUGACGGAGCAACGCCGCGUGAGUGAUGAAGGUCUUCGGAUCGUAAAACUCUGUUAUUAGGGAAGAACAAAUGUGUAAGUAACUAUGCACGUCUUGACGGUACCUAAUCAGAAAGCCACGGCUAACUACGUG
rnacentral:rRNA from 1 species